GUACACGCUGUGACUAGCAUAUCAAUAAGCGGAGGAAAAGAAACUAACAAGGAUUCCCUUAGUAACGGCGAGUGAAGCGGGAAGAGCUCAAAUUUGAAAUCUUGAAAGGUCACCUUUCACGAAUUGUAGUUUAAAGAAGUGUUUUCUGUUACGAUCGUAAUAUAAGUUCUUUGGAAUAGGACAUCACAGAGGGUGAGAAUCCCGUCUAUGAUUGCGAUUUGUAGCUUUGUGAUACACUUUCAAAGAGUCGGGUUGUUUGGGAAUGCAGCCCAAAACGGGAGGUAAAUUUCUUCUAAGGCUAAAUAUUGGCGAGAGACUGAUAGCGAACAAGUACCGUGAGGGAAAGAUGAAAAGAACUUUGAAAAGAGAGUUAAACAGUACGUGAAAUUGUCAAAAGGGGAGCGUUUGACACCAGUGUUGCUUUCUCGAAAAUCAAUUAAAAAUGGCUCGAUUUUGUAUUGCUGAGACCUUAAAAGCUCACUGUACAUUUUUCGUGUCUUUUUUAAUGCACUUUUCGUUUAACAAGUCAACAUCAGUUUCUUUUGUUGUAAAAGGGUCAUUGGAAGGUGGCUUUCUUUUCGGAGAAAGUGUUUAUAGCCUUUGGCCUCUGCAAUCGAAGAGACUGAGGUCUGCAGCGUAGACCCUUCGGGGUUAGAUACAUUUGUGCUAAGCUAUAGCUUUUUAUAGACAACUUGUUGACUAUAUUUAGUCUUGUGGCUUACUCGCUUAUGCUAUUUUACCUACGCUUAGGAUGUUGAGUAGCGACAUACGCAC
rnacentral:rRNA from 1 species